rnacentral:rRNA from 1 species
GGGUGAGUAACGCGUAUCCAACCUUCCCAUUACUGUGGGAUAACCUGCCGAAAGGCAGACUAAUACCGCAUAGUCUUCGAUGACGGCAUCAGAUUUGAAGUAAAGAUUUAUCGGUAAUGGAUGGGGAUGCGUCUGAUUAGCUUGUUGGCGGGGUAACGGCCCACCAAGGCUACGAUCAGUAGGGGUUCUGAGAGGAAGGUCCCCCACAUUGGAACUGAGACACGGUCCAA